CUUAUUAUAAAAUUAAUAAGUGGGGCCUGGUCAGUGUUAAAUUAUAACAAUUUUUUAAAAACAAGUGAAAAUAUUUAAUAAACACACGCCUUAUCCUGAGGGUGAAAAUGUAGCAUAAUUAUUUGGCAUUUAAAUGAUGUCUAGUAUGAAAGGUGAAACGACUUAUAUACUGUCUCAACUUUAAAAUUAAUGAAAUUAGAUUAAUAGUGAAAAUACUAUUAAAAAAAUAUAAGACGAGAAGUCCCUAUAAACUUUUACUAUAUAAUGAUGAUAAAAUUCUUAUGAAUAUAGUUUGACUGGGGCGGUCGUCUCUUAAAAAAACAGAGAUUAUUUUUUUAAUUAAAAAAUUUUUUUAAUUAUUUUUUACAAUUAAAUAUAUGUAUUUAACUGUAUUAAAAAAUAAAAAUAAUGACCUCUUUUUAAUAUAACAAUUAAAAAACUAUAAAAAAUAAAAAGUACUUUAGGGAUAACAGCGUAAUUCUAUCUGGAGGUCUUAUCUAAGUAUAGUGUUUGCGACCUCGAUGUUGGCUUGAGAUAACCUGAAGGUGUAGAAGUUUUCAAAGGUGGGUCUGUUCGUCCUUAAAAAUCUUACAUGAUUUGAGUUCAUUCCGUA
rnacentral:rRNA from 1 species